rnacentral:rRNA from 1 species
UACUGCAUUUUUUCUUACACAUGUGUUUUUCUUUUUUUGAAAACUUUGCUUUGGUAGGCUUCUGUAUGGGGCCUGCCAGAGAUUAAACUCAACCAAAUUUUAUUUAAUGUCAACCGAUUAUUUAAUAGUCAAAACUUUCAACAACGGAUCUCUUGGUUCUCGCAUCGAUGAAGAACGCAGCGAAAUGCGAUAAGUAAUAUGAAUUGCAGAUAUUCGUGAAUCAUCGAAUCUUUGAACGCACAUUGCGCCCUUUGGUAUUCCAAAGGGCAUGCCUGUUUGAGCGUCAUUUCUCCCUCAAACCCUCGGGUUUGGUGUUGAGCGAUACGCUGGGUUUGCUUGAAAGAAAGGCGGAGUAUAAACUAAUGGAUAGGUUUUUUCCACUCAUUGGUACAAACUCCAAAACUUCUUCCAAAUUCGACCUCAAAUCAGGUAGGACUACCCGCUGAACUUAAGCAUAUCAAUAAGCGGAGG